CUUCCAGUAGCACCUUAGAGACCAACUAAGUUUGUUCUUGGAAUGAGCUUUCAUGUGCACACACACUUCUUCAGAUACUAAGUGUGCAUGCACACAAAAGCUUAUAACAAGAACAAACUUAGUUGGUCUCUAAGGUGCUACUGGAAA